AGGCUGACAGUGGUGAUUCCCUUCAACAAAUGGUCGUGGUGGGAGGGUACGCACACACCCCACACACAGCGACACACACACACACACACACACACGCACACAGCGCCCAGACUCCGAUUUCAGCGCUGGCAGGAGAUAACCAUUCUCAGCUCGCCUUUCCAGGGUUAUUUUUGGCUGGGGCUGUUCGCUGAUGGCAAAAGGUUUCAGCCCCCUCCCAACUCCUCCCCGUCCUUGUUCAAAAGAGAAACUGGUGCUUGUAGGCUGCGCACUCCCAGAGAGACCGGGAGAGGGGCCGGGGUGCGGGAGAGGAACCAGGGCUCUGCCCAAAGUCUCGUGGCCCGCCGGCUGUUUUGGCUGUUUUCUGCCGGAGGGUGUGCCCUGGAGAGCUGCGAGCACCAGGGAAGGCUGGGGCCCGGCGCUGGUGGAAGCGUCACCUGGGUCGGGCUAGCAGGCCCUGGAAUCCGGCUUUUGGGACACCCCGAAAGCGAGUCCAACUUGGGAAGGCAGCAGAGAAGAGGCCGGCCCGCGGCCCACCGGCCUCUUCGAGGGCCAGCGCAACUACCUGCCCAACUUCAUCCAGAGCGUGCUGUCCAUCGACCUGCGCGACCGCCAGGGCUGCACCAUGGUGGUGGGCAGCGACGGCAGGUACUUCAGCAAGACGGCCACCGAGAUCGUGAUGCAGAUGGCUGCAGCCAACGGGAUUGGAUGACUGAUUAUUGGACAGAAUGGCAUCUUGUCGACACCUGA
rnacentral:lncRNA from 1 species